CAUGGUGGCUUGUAUAGAUUACAGGUGAUUUCAUUUUACUUGAGUCCAUAACAUUAUUUUCUACAUGGUAGAUGCUGCUAUCUUGUUAAGAAAAAGCUCCUCCUGGAUGAACAUUGUUUGACUGCGAAAUGACUUAAUGAUAAAUAUCACAAUUAUGUGCUAGAAUUUUGCAUUAGCUGGUUUGUCCUAUGUUCUCUUUAUAGGCGAUAAUCAUGCAUUGACCAUCACUUAAAGAACUUUCUAGGUGAAUAUCACACGAUCACCUGUAACCCUGGUCUCCUAAUUAAAAUCUUUGUGCAG
rnacentral:misc_RNA from 1 species